CCUGGGGGAAGCAGAGACACAGUUACAGAGCAGCUCUGCACAGCUCCAGCAGCACUGCUCCCAGCCCACUCCACAACAAAAGCCAGCCAUUCCAUUUAAUUAAGGUUUGUGGGGACUCAAGGGCUGCACUUGAGGAGACUCUCCUCCACUAGCUCCAGAGAUCAAAAGAUUUGGUGUAACCACAAGGAAUUACUGGAAGAUCUCAGAUGUCUUGCACACUACUAGGAAAAGUUAUUUGUUUUCAAGAAAAUAUUUAAUCUUAGCAACUCAUAUAAAUUUGGUAACAGAAUUCUCAGAUCUAACAAUUUGAUAGUUCCAAGGAAAGUAUUUGUUCAAAAAAUAGGGGCCAAUUUAUCACUAUCAUAGGCAAGACAAGAUGACAGAACUUGGAACUGAAGUUUAUUGAAAUUUUUACAUACGGCAAUUGGUUGAUCUGUCAGACUGGAAGAUAUAUUCUUACCAUUGGUUCCUCCAACCUAAUAACAGUAGGAGAUAAAGUUACUCCUCAAAUGGAUUUAAGGGAAAAUGUUUUCAGUCAGCAAUUUCUGCUCCCAGAUAUUCUGAAGGAGGAUUUUCUUCUUAAGAGAGACGCUGCCCUGUAAUUCAGCACAACCAACUGCACCCAGAGCAGACACCAGCCUUCCCCAGCAACCAGUUCUGUACUGUCAGGGGAAACCUGCAAGAUCAAACUUCUCCUGAAAAGCACCCAACUAACAAUUUCUCUUUGGUUUGGUCUCCAGGGGAAACAGACAUGACCAAACCAACCAAACACCUUUUCUGUACCAACUUUUUCCUUCCCCAAAUAUUUGGAAAUAGUAGUAGAUUUCAAAUGUGUUAAGGAGAAGAUAUCAAACCCCUGUAUAUGCUGAGUUUUAAAUGGCACAGUGAAGGAAAAGGGACGCUGAAUACAGAUCCUAAAAAAAGGUCAGGUUUCAUCAGCAUCACUGUUCUCUUCCUCUGUGCUUUUUGUUAGUUUUGUGGGAUGAAUCUUUGAUACUGCACAAGUCUGAAAUCUGAAGACUUCCCAAGAACUUCAAGACUUACCACCCUGUUUCACUUUCUUCUGCAAAAAAACAAUUCAAAUAACUGGAAGUACUCCAAACCUGUACUGAACAGUUAUACAUCCUUGCACAGACAACGCUUUUUCCCUAAGAUACUUAGACAUGGAAUUCUUUUGCAGUCUACCAGAAAGCCACGGUUACUUCAGCAGGCUAAAGACAUGUAUGUGCAUUUUGUUCUUUUGUAACAGACAUUCUGUCCCUACUAAAUAUCUUUCAUCAUACCUCCUUCUACUUUUUUGAAAAUAGUUUUAUGAUGUUAAGCAAAACUGAAGUUUUAAGUAUCUUACAAAUAUCUAAGUAAGUCUAAGUCUGAGAAAACCAGCUUUCCAUUGUCUCUCCUUCUAAUAAAGACAAGUAUUUCUGACAUUUCAGCUACAGUUGCCCACAACUGGCAAAUUCAUAUCAAUCUUGUGUAUCAUAACUGAUGGGAAAGCCUAAUGACUGUAACUUAGUGAGAAGUGAAUUAAGGAAAAUUGUGAAUUAAGGACAGAUUACUGAAAAUAGCACCAGAGUUCCUUAAAUAAGAUUCACAUUACUCAA